rnacentral:sRNA from 1 species
UUCAAAGAGUGGAAAAAUGAUGAAUGAAUCUUUGAGUGUGACUUCACAAGUGUGGCAGAAAAGUGGAAAAUGUCCAAAGGGAACAAUAGCAGUUAGAAGAAUAAGAAAAAGAGAGCUACUGAAGGCUCAUUCAAUUGAAGAAUAUGGAAGGAAGAAGCCAAGCUUCUCUCACCAUCAACAUGGUCAAGUGAAUAAGAAUCUUGAUUCCUUUGUUCAACUUAAAAACCACUCUAAGGCAAUAUUGUUUACAGUUGGUUACCGUUAUCUGGGAGGAAAAGCAGACCUGAG